UCCCAGGUUGUUGCCGUAUGGGCGGUACUGCAGUCAGGUGGAAGCAGCUACUAAACACCUGGACAAGAUGUCCGCCAUGAAGGAAGGAGUUAAGAUGAAACUAGAGGAGUGCUCUAAGAGGGCUAACAGUGGCAGGUUCUCUCUGCGUGAUCUACUCAUGGUUCCCAUGCAGAGAGUCCUCAAAUACCACCUACUGCUCCAGGAGCUGGUGUGAAACACACCUCCAG